rnacentral:rRNA from 1 species
CUGGCGGCCGCCUAACACAUGCAAGUCGAACGCAGUAGCAAUACUGAGUGGCAGACGGGUGAGUAUAAUGUGGGAAUCUGCCUUUUGGUUCGGAAUAACACGGGGAAACCUGUGCUAAUACCGGAUAAGCCUUAACAGGGAAAGUUUUAAUGCCAAAAGAUGAGCCCGCACUUGAUUAGCUAGUUGGUAAGGUAAUGGCUUACCAAGGCAACGAUCAAUAGCUGUUCUUAGAGGAAGACCAGCCACAUUGGGACUGAGACACGGCCCAAACUCCUACGGGAGGCAGCAGUGGGGAAUCUUGCACAAUGGGGGCAACCCUGAUGCAGCGAUGCCGCGUGAGUGAAGAAGGCCUUUGGGUUGUAAAACUCUUUCGUCGGGGAAGAAAAUGACUGUACCCGAAUAAGAAGGUCCGGCUAACUUCGUGCCAGCAGCCGCGGUAAUACGAAGGGACCUAGCGUAGUUCGGAAUUACUGGGCUUAAAGAGUUCGUAGGUGGUUAAAAAAGUUGAUGGUGAAAUCCCAAGGCUCAACCUUGGAACUGCCAUCAAAACUUUUUAGCUAGAGUAUGAUAGAGGAAAGUGGAAUUUCUAGUGUAGAGGUGAAAUUCGUAGAUAUUAGAAAGAACAUCAAAUGCGAAGGCAACUUUCUGGAUCAUUACUGACACUGAGGAACGAAAGCAUGGGUAGCGAAGAGGAUUAGAUACCCUCGUAGUCCAUGCCGUAAACGAUGUGUGCUAGACGUUGGAAACUUAGUUUUCAGUGUCGCAGAGAAAUCAUUAAG